CAACCCCUGGGCGAGAGCAGUGGACAGGGAGAUACACACCCAGAGCUACAUAUGAAAAUUUCUUCUAUACUGUCUGCCCUGACCAGUAUGUCUAUAAUGUCUUAUCUGAAGCUUGGGGGCCAAAUAUGUUUCAGAAUGUGGACUUUUUAAGAUGUGAAAAGUAACCCAGGUUCCCAAACAUAAUUAUUGGAUGAAUGAAUGAACAAGAAGAUGACUAUGGAGGAUACUUGGGAUCUGGCU